GAAUAUUGCGCAAUGGGCGAAAGCCUGACGCAGCCACGCCGCGUGAGUGAUGAAGGCCCUAGGGUCGUAAAGCUCUAUCGUGAGGGACGAAGUUCUGACGGUACCUCACAAGAAAGCGCCGGCCAACUCCGUGCCAGCAGCCGCGGUAAUACGGAGGGCGCAAGCGUUGCUCGGAAUCACUGGGCGUAAAGCGAACGCAGGUGGUCUGUUAAGUCGGGUGUGAAAUCCCGGGGCUCAACCCCGGAACUGCAUUCGAAACUGGCAGCCUUGAGUACGGGAGAGGGAAGCGGAAUUCCUGGUGUAGAGGUGAAAUUCGUAGAUAUCAGGAGGAACAUCAGUGGCGAAAGCGGCUUCCUGGCCCGAUACUGACGCUCAUGCUCGAAAGCGUGGGGAGCAAACAGG
rnacentral:rRNA from 1 species